UACGAGAGGCCCAAACGUUAUUCGGAUUUACUGGGCGUAAAGGGCGCGUAGGCGGUAGCACAAGUCAGUUGUGAAAUCUCCGGGCUUAACUCGGAAAGGUCAACUGAUACUGUGCGACUAGAGUGCAGAAGGGGCAACUGGAAUUCUCGGUGUAGCGGUGAAAUGCGUAGAUAUCGAGAGGAACACCUGCGGCGAAGGCGGGUUGCUGGGCUGACACUGACGCUGAUGCGCGAAAGCCAGGGGAGCGAACGGG
rnacentral:rRNA from 1 species